rnacentral:lncRNA from 1 species
GCGGCCUAAGUCUAACCCAUUUUGGAUUGUUACCAGUAAAAUAUAGGGUAUAAAAUAAAAUAAUCCCAGAAAAAUAAUUAAAAUGGCCUUAUUACAACCCAAAACCAAAUCAUAAUAUUAAUAAGAUAAAACUUACAAAGAAAUUAAUCGGCUACUUAUUGCAAUUAAAAGAAACAAAAAUAGUAGUGUGGCCAUCUCCGAGUCCCUCGCAGCUCCAAACCAUCUAAGCUUAGGGAUUUCCUGCACAGUUAGAAACGGGGUGGGUUUACGAAAACUCAGUGUGUAAUCCCAAUAAUAUACAAAUAGUGAAAACACAAUAUCAGUACAAUCUGGACCAAAGCCCUAUUUAGUCUUGACAUAUACUGGGCCGGAGCCUUUCAUUUAACGGUUACUAGGCCGAAGCCUUUUCAUAAAUCAUAUCAUUGGGCCGAAGCCUUUACUGUAAACGGUAUGGCCCAUAGGCCCAUUUUAAUAUCACAUGUAAUGUCAAUGGAUGUAUGCAAGCCCAUUUCAAUACCUAUGAAAUACCAAUGAAUGUAUGCAAGCCUAUUUGGGGAGACUACUCGACCCACCAUCCGCUACUCUCCACCCGUACCAACCAACACACCAUAUGGGGAAUGAUUCAACCCACCCAACCAACAUACCACUGGAAGCAUAGCUGCUUUAUCAUAUAUCUAGAGGCCUAGUCUCUUUUAAUAACUGGGGCAAAACCCUUUUCGGUAAACUAGGGCGAAGCCCUUUUCAAUAAACUGGGGCAUAAGCCCUUUUCGGUAAACUAGGGUAUAAGCCCUUUUCAAUAAACUAGGGCAUAAGCCCUUUUCAAUAAACUGGGGCAUAAGCCCUUUUCAAUAAACUGGGGCAUAAGCCCUUUUCAAUAAACUAGGGUAUAAGCCCUUUUGCACUUCCUCCAUUCAUAUAAAAACCCAACCCAAUGCAUUUAUGAAUACAUCAUGUGCAUUUCAUACAUAUCAUGUGCAUUUUAUACAUAUCAUGUGCAUAUGAUAUCAAUCAUGUAUAUCAUAUCCCACGUAUCAAAUUUAUAAUUAAACCCUAGGGGUAUAAUGGCCAUUUUUACCUGGGGGCAAAAAAGUCAUUUUCAUACUAUAAGGGUAAUUUCAUAAUUUUAGCAAAUAUCAAGGUUUUCUAUGUUCAUCAACAAUUAUCAAUAUUUUCGAGUGUUUAAACAAUAAUCUUUAACCCACUUUAUCAAACUCGGGCUUUUGGGCCCAAAACCUCUAAUGGGCCCUACGAAUGCCGAUUUAGCCCACUAAGCCUGCUUAAUAAAAAUUUUUACAACAGUACUAACCGUGUUAUCAUGCAACUUUUUCAAAUUCCAUUUUCUAUCAAUUUUACCCAAAUGGGUCCGAAAGCCCAUUUGGCCCAAUUUCAUCCCAUUGAGGCCCAACUUACCAUCGUGCACAAAAUUGAGUUCUUACAUGUUCCAUCGAUCCAAACACUGAUCUUAUCGUAUUUAUUGCAUCUAUACCCAAACGCAACAUUACAAGUUCGCAAAAUAUCGGUAUUUUAGCAUUUUGGCUUCUCAGCAAAUAUUAAUCUAAGAUAUUACGAGGGUUAGUACACACCUGUUACGGGUUGAAGUUGAAACGUUUUCAUAAUCAAUCACUUACGAUAACCACCACUUGUCACUCAAACUUAACUAUUCCAAUAUCAAUAUAUGUAAAUCCUAAGCACAUCAGUCAUAUGGAACAUAAGGGCGUAUUCAUCAUUUUACCAUACAAGGGUAUUACGGUCACUUUACCCUACAAGGGCUUUACGGUCUUUUUACCUAUUAGGGGUGUUUAGGUAAAUUUACAAAUCAAGGGUAUUUCUGUAAUUUUGUAAAUUAGGGGUAUUUUGGUAAUUUUAUAAAUUGAGGGUAUUUCAGUAAUUUAACAAACUAGUGGUAUUUUGGUAAUUUUACAAACUAGGGGUGUUUUGGUAAUUCUACCCUACAGGGGUAUUUUAGUAAUUUCACAAUCGAGGGUAAAACGGUAAUUUUGUAAAUCAAGGGUAAAACAGUAAUUCUGUAAAUCAAGGGUAAAACAGUAAUUCUAUAAAUCGAGGGUACUUAGGUAAUUUUUACAAGUCGAGGGUAUUUCAAAAAUUUUACAAAUCAGGUGGUAUUUUAGUAAUUUUACAAACCAGAGGCAUUUUAGUAAUUUUACAAACCAGGGGUAUUUUGGUAAUUUUAUUGAUCGAGGGUAUUUUGGUAAUUUUGUAAACCAAGGGUAUUUCAGUAAUUUUGUAAACCGAGGGUAAAAUGGUAAUUCUGUAAAUCGAGGGUAAGAUGGUAAUUUUGUAAAUCGAGGGUAAAAUGGUAAUUCUAUAAAUCGAGGGUAAAAUGGUAAUUCUAUCUUACAGGAGUAUUUCAGUAAUUUUACAAAAUCGAGGGUAUUUCAGUAAUUUUGCAAAUUGAGGGUAUUUCGGUAAUUUUGCAAAUCAAGGAUAUUUGGUUAAUUUUAUAAAUUGGGGGUACUUUGGUAAUUUUACAAGUCGAGGGUAUUUCAAUAAUUUGGUAAACUAAAGUAUUCUACACAGGAAUAACAAUACGAAUGAGCCUAAAGCCCUUCUCGGCCCAAAUGGGCCCACAUGUUCGUGUGGCCCUUUUAGCCCAAAUCUAGCCAAAGAUAUAAGAUUCACUUAGCCUAAUCCAAUAUUUACUACACAAUCAAACAACUUAUCUAAUUGGGCCCGUAGGCCCAUUGGGCCCACAUGGCCCCUUUCAGCCCAUCGCGGCCCGAAGUAGCCAUCCUACAGCUAGAGUAGUGAGAAAUACACACCUGAUAGGAGACUAGAGUUAAUCGAUGCUCCGAGCACUCUUAGCCGACGCCCAACCCAAACGAGCACGCCAUACAGCGAAAGGGAUCAGCCAAGAAAGGUACCUCUACUCUCCUCAUGGUUCUCUCUAUUUAAAGCCAGCUUCGCAUCCCCUCUUAUGUUAGCUUCCUGAUGUGGGAUCCCUCCAUCAUCAGAGUUUAAAUUCAACACCAACUCUUGC